rnacentral:rRNA from 1 species
GACGAACGCUGGCGGCGUGCUUAACACAUGCAAGUCGAACGGAAAGGCCCUGCUUUUGUGGGGUGCUCGAGUGGCGAACGGGUGAGUAACACGUGAGUAACCUGCCCUUUACUUUGGGAUAACUUCAGGAAACUGGGGCUAAUACCGGAUAGGAGCUCCUGCUGCAUGGUGGGGGUUGGAAAGUUUCGGCGGUUGGGGAUGGACUCGCGGCUUAUCAGCUUGUUUGUGGGGUAGUGGCUUACCAAGGCUUUGACGGGUAGCCGGCCUGAGAGGGUGACCGGCCACAUUGGGACUGAGAGACGGCCCAGACUCCUACGGGAGGCAGCAGUGGGGAAUAUUGCACAAUGGGCGGAAGCCUGAUGCAGCAACGCCGCGUGCGGGAUGACGGCCUUCGGGUUGUAAACCGCUUUCGCCUGUGACGAAGCGUGAGUGACGGUAAUGGGUAAAGAAGCACCGGCUAACUACGUG